AAACUCUGCCCUCUGCCAGCUAGGCUAGAUUGGAAGUGCAUAUUGAUCUCCUGACUAUAUAGUCUGGCAACCAGUACCAGUACUUUGUGAUAUAUAUAGAUGCUGGCGCCAAAGCUCAUAUAUAGUGGUUGUCAGUAUUUGUGGAUUUGUGCUGUUGUAGAUACUGGUACAUGUACAUUGAAGUCCAAUGACAUGUAUGAAUAUAUGUCGAUCAGUAUGCUGUAAUGUGACUCUGUCAGACAUUGUGACAUUUCCACUUCCUGUCAUAGGGCAUGGUGAAUAUUUGCUCAUAAUUUCUAUGCUGAUUAGUACAUGUAAAUUAAUCAAACAUCAAACAAAUGGACCUGUUGUGCAGGGGCUUACAAAUCCCAUUGUCUGACACCCUGGGCAAGGGUUGUUGUUUUUUUGAUUGGGCCAGUAAAAAAUCUGUAGGGACUUGUUUGUUAACAAGUGACAUUUUAAACUUUCCUCUGUGAAAGAAAAAAUUGAAAUAAAUGGCUAAACAUUGCACAGUU
rnacentral:sRNA from 1 species